rnacentral:rRNA from 2 species
UGGGGAAUAUUGGGCAAUGGGCGAAAGCCUGACCCAGCGACGCCGCGUGAGGGAAGAAGGUCUUCGGAUUGUAAACCUUAGUUAGCAGGGAAGAAGAAAGUGACGGUACCUGCAGAGAAAGCCACGGCUAACUACGCGCCAGCAGCCGCGGUAAUACGUAGGUGGCAAGCGUUAUCCGGAUUUACUGGGUGUAAAGGGUGUGUAGGCGGGAAAGCAAGUCAGAUGUGAAAACUAUGGGCUCAACCCAUAGCCUGCAUUUGAAACUGUUUUUCUUGAGAGUCGGAGAGGUAAGUGGAAUUCCCGGUGUAGCGGUGAAAUGCGUAGAUAUCGGGAGGAACAUCUGUGGCGAAGGCGACUUACUGGACGAUUACUGACGCUGAGACACGAAAGCGUGGGGAGCAAACAGG